UACGUAGGGGGCAAGCGUUGGUCCGGAUUUAUUGGGCGUAAAGAGCGUGUAGGCGGCCUGACAGGUCUGCUGUGAAAACUCGAGGCUCAACCUCGAGAUGUCGGCGGAAACCGUCUGGCUAGAGUCCGGAAGAGGAGAGUGGAAUUCCUGGUGUAGCGGUGAAAUGCGCAGAUAUCAGGAAAGAACACCUAUGGCGAAGGCAGCUCUCUGGGACGGUACUGACGCUGAGACGCGAAAGCGUGGGGAGCGAACAGG
rnacentral:rRNA from 1 species